AAACAGGAGGAAAAAAAGGAGCAGGAAAAAGGAGGGGAGAAGCAGGAGGAGCAAGCGGAGGAGCAGGAGGAGGAGCAAGAGGAGGAGGAGGAGGAACAACAGGAGGAGCAGGAGGAGGAGCAAGAGGAGGAGGAGGAGGAACAACAGGAGGAGCAGGAGGAGGAGCAGGAGGAGGAAGAAGAGGAGCAGGAGGAGAAAGAGGAGGAACAGGAGGAGAAAGGAGGAGCAGCACAGUUCGGGAGAUUGCCCCAGAUAUGGGAACGCAUCUCGUCCCACUUUCAGUUUAGAUUCUAAAGUCAGAACCUGCACUGACUUUGUGGGUCCUUCCUGCUGACUCAAGCUGAGGCUGAGGCCUGGCUGUCUCUGCUAGGUCCUGUCACUACUGUUGCUAAUCCGACUAUAUGGAACUGGACUGCUGGUGUAUCCGUGAAGUGUUUGGGAGUGGAUCGAGCUGCCACUGCUGACCUGUGAACUGAACUGCCGAUUUCCAGACAACACAGAUGGGAGUUGCUCCAAAGAACCUUUGUAAACAGCCCGCUUGGCAGUGGAGAGAAAGUCAAGUUUGCUGGGCCGUGUCAUCGGGACUUCCUUUGGCACCUACGUAGUACUGUCACAGACACUGGAACUGCAACGAGCGAUUGCAUUAGCUCUCAGCAACGUGUUUAUUUGUGACUGGCCUACUUAGAAAGACAACUGGGAUGGAAAAAGGAAUAUUUUAAGGUAAAAAGAAACACAAGAUGUUGGAAGAGCAAUGUUCAGGUCCUCGAGGACUUGGCAUUCCACACCUCUUCUGGCUCCAGGAGAUGGAGGAGAGUUGACUCAAACCUUCCGCUCAAACACUCCAGCAAACCGGGACUUCUGUGUAACAUCAGUGUCCUCUUACCAUAUGUCCAAAGGGAGUGCAUGUCUUUCUCCUCCAGCCAACGAAACUUGGGGGCUCAAUUCUGACUGGACCAACUAAGAUCAUGUGACCAGCAUGUCCAGUUACUGCGACUGAGAGAUACCAUACGCGGAUUGGCCACAGCAUCUGUUCCUUACCCAUGUCUGGCUUAUUCAGAGUCUUAAAGUGGGUACAACUAUGCUUAGUAACUUCGGCCAUUCAUAACCCACCAUGGAGGUCUUGAGCUAUAGAUAAGAGGAAACCGAAGCCUGAGCAGGAAGAGAGCUGUCCCAACGAUGUCUAGAAAGUGACACAGUCAGAUUCGCAGCACACUGGUCUCAUCCAGAACUAUGCUUCACCACUGGCCCGGCUGCCUGCUGUUCCCCUGUGCUUGGACCCCAGGACUGAGUGGGACCAGCAAGUCUAUGACACCCACAAGGCUGACGCUCUGUAUGGAUGCUCUUCUCCUCUGACUUCUUACUGAACAGGGAUCAAGUUUAAUGCAGUUUUGGAUGUAAAUGCUUGCAGCUAUCAUUUCAAAGGGAGACUCCUGAUUUAAAAAAAAAAAGGCUUUGUCAAGUUCCGGGGGUACAGGAAGAUGACUCUCUUAAGGCUUGGGGGAGUUGAAAGAGAAUUUCACACUUGCUAAUCGGCCUGAUGCACAGGUCCUUCCUUAGGGCCUGUGAGGGUCCAGUGUGCCCCCCCCCCCAUACGAAAAUGGGUGUGCACGCUUCCCUCUCCUUCACCCAUCAGUGUGUUUAUGCUCAGUCUUCCUGCUCUUCGCUGUGCCUGGCUCGGGCUCCCGCACACCUGCAGGGAGCAGGAGGCAUUACUUUUCCCCGCCCCCACAGGAUUCCUGUGAACCCCAGGGUGGAAGCGAGGUCCUGAGGUCCUCAGGGGAAGAAGAGCAGAUAGUAAAUUGUAUUUUUCUUCACGGUA
rnacentral:lncRNA from 1 species